UACAGAGGUCCCAAGCGUUGUUCGGAUUCAUUGGGCGUAAAGGGUGCGUAGGCGGUCCAAUCAGUCUGUAGGGACAGGGCACAGCUUAACUGUGUCAGGCUUAUGGAAACUGUUGGACUUGAGGGCUUCAGAGGGAUGGGGAAUUCCGGGUGGAGUGGUGAAAUGCGUAGAGAUCCGGAAGAACACCAAAGGCGUAGGCACCAUCCUGGGGAGUCACUGACGCUCAUGUACGAAAGCUAGGGGAGCGAACGGG
rnacentral:rRNA from 1 species